rnacentral:rRNA from 1 species
GAUGAACGCUGGCGGCGUGCCUAACACAUGCAAGUCGAACGGAGAACCCUCGACAGAGUUUUCGGACAAAGGAGAGGAAUUCUUAGUGGCGGACGGGUGAGUAACGCGUGAGGAACCUGCCUUGGAGUGGGGAAUAACACAGUGAAAAUUGUGCUAAUACCGCAUAAAGCAGUUGGGUCGCAUGACCCUGACUGCCAAAGAUUUAUCGCUCUGAGAUGGCCUCGCGUCUGAUUAGUUAGUUGGCGGGGUAACGGCCCACCAAGACGACGAUCAGUAGCCGGACUGAGAGGUUGACCGGCCACAUUGGGACUGAGAAACGGCCCAGACUCCUACGGGAGGCAGCAGUGGGGAAUAUUGGGCAAUGGGCGCAAGCCUGACCCAGCAACGCCGCGUGAAGGAAGAAGGCUUUCGGGUUGUAAACUUCUUUUAUUCGGGACGAAACAAAUGACGGUACCGAAUGAAUAAGCCACGGCUAACUACGUG